rnacentral:rRNA from 1 species
UACGAAGGGUGCAAGCGUUACUCGGAAUUACUGGGCGUAAAGCGUGCGUAGGCGGUUUGUUAAGUCCGUUGUGAAAGCCCUGGGCUCAACCUGGGAAUUGCAGUGGAUACUGGCAAGCUAGAGUACGGUAGAGGAUGGUGGAAUUCCCGGUGUAGCGGUGAAAUGCGUAGAGAUCGGGAGGAACACCCGUGGCGAAGGCGGCCAUCUGGACCAGUACUGACGCUGAGGCACGAAAGCGUGGGGGAGCAAACAGG